GUUCUUCUUUCAGCAGCACAUAUAACUAAAAUUUAAAAAUACAAAGAUGAUUACCAUAGCCCCUAUACAAGUAUGACACAGAUUCAUGAAGUGUUCCAUUAAUAA